rnacentral:misc_RNA from 1 species
AAGUCGUAACAAGGUUUCCGUAGGUGAACCUGCGGAAGGAUCAUUCAUAAUAAGUGUUUUAUGGCACUUUUUUAAAUCCAUAUCCACCUUGUGUGCAAUGUCAGUCGAUCUUCUUUAUGGAGAUUGACCAAACAUCAACCAUAUCUUUUAACUCUUUGUCUGAAAAAUAUUAUGAAUAAACAAUUCAAAAUACAACUUUCAACAACGGAUCUCUUGGCUCUC